CCUACGGGGGGCAGCAGUGGGGAAUAUUGGACAAUGGGGGGAACCCUGAUCCAGCCAUGCCGCGUGUGUGAAGAAGGCCCUCGGGUUGUAAAGCACUUUCAGUGAGGAAGAACGCCUGGUGGUUAAAACCCAUCAGGAAAGACAUCACUCACAGAAGAAGCACCGGCUAACUCCGUGCCAGCAGCCGCGGUAAUACGGAGGGUGCGAGCGUUAAUCGGAAUUACUGGGCGUAAAGCGCGCGUAGGUGGCUUGAUAAGCCGGUUGUGAAAGCCCCGGGCUCAACCUGGGAACGGCAUCCGGAACUGUCAAGCUAGAGUGCAGGAGAGGAAGGUAGAAUUCCCGGUGUAGCGGUGAAAUGCGUAGAGAUCGGGAGGAAUACCAGUGGCGAAGGCGGCCUUCUGGACUGACACUGACACUGAGGUGCGAAAGCGUGGGUAGCAAACAGGAUUAGAUACCCUAGUAGUC
rnacentral:rRNA from 1 species